GACGAACGCUGGCGGCGUGCCUAAUACAUGCAAGUCGAGCGAAGUUUUUCUGGUGCUUGCACCGGAAAAACUUAGCGGCGAACGGGUGAGUAACACGUAAAGAACCUGCCUCAUAGACUGGGACAACUAUUGGAAACGAUAGCUAAUACCGGAUAACAGCAUUAACUGCAUGGUUGAUGUUUAAAAGUUGGUUUUGCUAACACUAUGAGAUGGCUUUGCGGUGCAUUAGCUAGUUGGUGGGGUAAAGGCCUACCAAGGCGACGAUGCAUAGCCGACCUGAGAGGGUGAUCGGCCACACUGGGACUGAGACACGGCCCAGACUCCUACGGGAGGCAGCAGUAGGGAAUCUUCCGCAAUGGGCGAAAGCCUGACGGAGCAACGCCGCGUGAGUGAAGAAGGAUUUCGGUUCGUAAAGCUCUGUUGUUAGGGAAGAAUGAUUGUGUAGUAACGAUACAUAGUAGAGACGGUACCUAACCAGAAAGCCACGGCUAACUACGUG
rnacentral:rRNA from 1 species